UUUGAAAUCUGGCUCUUUUAGAGUCCGAGUUGUAAUUUGCAGAGGGCGCUUUGGCUUUGGCAGCGGUCCAAGUUCCUUGGAACAGGACGUCACAGAGGGUGAGAAUCCCGUACGUGGUCGCUGGCUAUUGCCGUGUAAAGCCCCUUCGACGAGUCGAGUUGUUUGGGAAUGCAGCUCUAAAUGGGAGGUACAUUUCUUCUAAAGCUAAAUAUUGGCCAGAGACCGAUAGCGCACAAGUAGAGUGAUCGAAAGAUGAAAAGCACUUUGGAAAGAGAGUCAAACAGCACGUGAAAUUGUUGAAAGGGAAGCGCUUGCAGCCAGACUUGCUUGCAGUUGCUCAUCCGGGCUUUUGCCCGGUGCACUCUUCUGCAGGCAGGCCAGCAUCAGUUUGGGCGGUAGGAUAAAGGUCUCUGUCACGUACCUCUCUUCGGGGAGGCCUUAUAGGGGAGGCGACAUACUACCAGCCUGGACUGAGGUCCGCGCAUCUGCUAGGAUGCUGGCGUAAUGGCUGUAAGCGGCCCGUCUUGAAAC
rnacentral:rRNA from 1 species